UAUAAAAAUGGCGACCUUAUUUCCAUUUGAUUUGGUUGUCUUGUGUUUGGGUUAUUUGAAAAGACAAUAAUUGUCGCAUUUUUCAGAAAAGUGAGUCGUCUCUGAAAUUGUUAUUUGAUGAAAUAAAGCUUCUAUCUUUUUGGUGGUUGAAAGCUAAAAAAAAUAAAAAAAGUAGCUUUUGAUUUUUAUCUUUUGUGGAUUAG
rnacentral:lncRNA from 1 species